rnacentral:sRNA from 3 species
UGCUAUCCGCGGAACUGAACGAUUCGAACCUGCAGCAGGUUCGGGUCGAACGCAGUGAGACAACGGAGCCGCUUGCGGCGACGGCCCGAAGGGCGAGGCGAAGCCGAGUCAUCCUGCACGACCCACCA